GGUUGUAUAGUGUAGUGGUGAGCACAUCGGUUUUUGAGACGAGUUAUCAACUCCGAAAUACCGAUAACCCAGGUUCGAUCCCUGGUACGACCU